rnacentral:rRNA from 1 species
UACGUAGGGGGCAAGCGUUGUCCGGAUUUAUUGGGCGUAAAGAGCGUGUAGGCGGUUUGGUAGGUCCGUUGUGAAAACUCGAGGCUCAACCUCGAGACGCCGAUGGAAACCAUCAGACUAGAGUCCGGAAGAGGAGAGUGGAAUUCCUGGUGUAGCGGUGAAAUGCGCAGAUAUCAGGAAGAACACCCGUGGCUAAGGCGGCUCUCUAGUACGGUACUGACGCUGAGACGCGAAAGCGUGGUGAGCGAACAGG